GACAGAGGAUGCAAGCGUUAUCCGGAAUGAUUGGGCGUAAAGCGUCUGUAGGUGGCUUUUUAAGUCUGCCGUCAAAUCCCAGGGCUUAACCCUGGACAGGCGGUGGAAGCUACCAAGCUGGAGUACGGUAGGGGCAGGGGGAAUUUCCGGUGGAGCGGUGAAAUGCGUAGAGAUCGGAAAGAACACCAACGGCGAAAGCACUCUGCUGGGCCGACACUGACACUGAGAGACGAAAGCUAGGGGAGCGAAUGGG
rnacentral:rRNA from 1 species